GGAUGUGAGGGUGAUUUUGCUGUGGUACCUGUCACCAACUAAUCCCAAUAGUUGAUUUGGCUUAUCUGGCUAACUAGCUGGGUUCCCCUUCCUUCCUAACUGCCCCAUAUAUGUCUCUUCCAAAGCUGCACACUCUGCUGAGGAGGAUGAUUCUUCCGUAAGGCCAUACGCGUAGCAGUGUUCCCUUGCUAGAAGCUCCAAACAAGUCCUCAAAGAACACACACACAAAGUCAGUGAAGGACAGUGUUUAAAACAGCAUGACCACUCCAAUCAGUUUAUAUCACUACCCUAUU
rnacentral:snRNA from 1 species